CCAUCGGUGGUUCAGUGGUAGAAUGCUCGCCUGCCACGCGGGAGGCCCGGGUUCGAUUCCCAGCCGAUGCA
rnacentral:tRNA from 1 species